GUCUACGGCCACACCACCCUGAAGGCGCCCGAUCUCGUCAGCUCUCGGAAGCAAAGCAGGGUCGGGCCUGGUUAGUACUUGGAAGGGAGACCGCCUGGGAAUACCGGGUGCCGUAGGCU
ensembl:rRNA 5S_rRNA 5S ribosomal RNA